rnacentral:rRNA from 1 species
CCUACCAAGGCGACGAUCUGUAGCGGGUCUGAGAGGAUGAUCCGCCACACUGGGACUGAGACACGGCCCAGACUCCUACGGGAGGCAGCAGUGGGGAAUUUUGGACAAUGGGCGCAAGCCUGAUCCAGCCAUGCCGCGUGCGGGACGAAGGCCUUCGGGGUUGUAAAACCGCUUUCAGCCGGAAAGAAAUCGCCAAGGCUAAUAUCCUUGGUGGAUGACGGUACCGGAAGAAGAAGCACCGGCUAACUACGUGCCAGCAGCCGCGGUAAUACGUAGGGUGCGAGCGUUAAUCGGAAUUACUGGGCGUAAAGGGUGCGCAGGCGGUUUUGCAAGCCAGACGUGAAAUCCCCGGGCUUAACCUGGGAACUGCGUUUGGAACUGCAAGACUAGAGUGUGUCAGAGGGAGGUGGAAUUCCACGUGUAGCAGUGAAAUGCGUAGAUAUGUGGAGGAACACCGAUGGCGAAGGCAGCCUCCUGGGAUAACACUGACGCUCAUGCACGAAAGCGUGGG